AGUUAUAACAACCUUUACAUCCAACUUCAACAACAAUAUUAUCACAACAAGAGUUAAGAUAACUUGUAGUUUUUAUUAUGUCACUUCUUGUACUGGAUAUUUGUGCUGUCAUCUACACCAUUAAGUAAACUACCACGAGAAGCGUUCAAGUACGGACUAGGUGCAUAUUUAUAAACUGAAAGAGGUAGAAGUUCUGGAGCUAAAGUUAUGACCAGUUGAGUCGACUUUAUAGCCGCCAUCCAAGAGUAAAACAUCUUUGUUACUAGCCAGCAGCCAGUAAAAGCUCUUGUGACAUCAGUGGUUGAUAUAUACUGCCAGCAGUAAGUGCUAUGAAGGGAGAAGCCGUAAGAGACAAAACCUUAAAUACAUUUAUAUUUGAAUCUUAAGUUUAUCUCAUCGUCCAUAGUUUUACAGACUUAACUGUCUGGAAGAAAGUCAUCUUAGGAAAUAGUGCCUUGGCAUUUUAGAUAAAACAAAAAAUAUAAGAACAGAUCAUCAGUCAUAUAAUUUCUUGCACUGAAGAAAAGUAUUGUCUGGAAGUACAUACAAGACAGCAGUGUGUGAGAUUUGGUCACAUGCCAUUGAAGGAUUAGCCAACACCUACCAAGACUCAGAGACUGAUCACUUCAAAACUACUACCAUUAUUUACAGUGUUUAUUCACCUGUAUUUGACAAAAGAAAUGUUUUGAGCAGGUGACACCUUUCAGCGAUGAAGAUGCCAAAGUUUUGCAUAUGUCUUAUUCAUCAGUAAUGUGAAAGACUCUGACUUUGCACUGAAAUCACAUUUAGUAUUGCAGUGUUCAUUCUGAAAAACCUUGCAAAUCUUCAGUGUUUAAAAAGAGUAUUAAAGUGAAUCUAAUUAAAAACUCC